rnacentral:rRNA from 1 species
UACAGAGGUCUCAAGCGUUUGUUCGGAUUCAUUGGGCGUAAAGGGUGCGUAGGUGGCGCUGUAAGUCGGGUGUGAAAUUUCGGAGCUUAACUCCGAAACUGCAUUCGAUACUGCGGUGCUUGAGGACUGGAGAGGAGACUGGAAUUCAUGGUGUAGCAGUGAAAUGCGUAGAGAUCAUGAGGAAGACCAGUGGCGAAGGCGGGUCUCUGGACAGUUCCUGACACUGAGGCACGAAGGCCAGGGGAGCAAAACGGG